GUGGGGAAUAUUGGACAAUGGGCGAAAGCCUGAUCCAGCCAUGCCGCGUGUGUGAAGAAGGUCUUCGGAUUGUAAAGCACUUUAAGUUGGGAGGAAGGGCAGUAAGUUAAUACCUUGCUGUUUUGACGUUACCGACAGAAUAAGCACCGGCUAACUUCGUGCCAGCAGCCGCGGUAAUACGAAGGGUGCAAGCGUUAAUCGGAAUUACUGGGCGUAAAGCGCGCGUAGGUGGUUUUGUAAGUUGGAGGUGAAAUCCCCGGGCUCAACCUGGGAACUGCCUCCAAAACUGCAUGACUAGAGUACGGUAGAGGGUAGUGGAAUUUCCUGUGUAGCGGUGAAAUGCGUAGAUAUAGGAAGGAACACCAGUGGCGAAGGCGACUACCUGGACUGAUACUGACACUGAGGCCCGAAAGCGUGGGGAUCAAACAGGAUUAGAUACCCGUGUAGUCC
rnacentral:rRNA from 1 species